AGAAGCCUAUUUGUAUUUGCAUCUCCAGUCUGAAGCAGCUGGUGGAAGCCAAACCUCCCUUUAGUCCCUUGCUGUGGGCGUUCAUGCGGAACGUGUACCCAGGCGGCAUCAGCUGCAUCGUCAGCAAAGGAGACUGGCUCUUCAAACUGGGGGUGGGACCGGCUUAUGAGCGCGUUGGCACCAGGACAGCAUCAUGAUCCGAGUACCUGACCACACCGUUACCCGCCACCUCUGCGAUGUCACUGGACCUCUCGCUAUUACCUCGGCCAAUCCCAGCGGAGAACAGGACAGCACUCACCACAGCAUGGUGAUCGACCGACUGGGGCACAAGAUCCAAGGGGUUCUGUGUGACGGGGAGACGAGCGAAGUUGUUGCUUCAACGGUAGUCAACUGCCUUCAGAUCGAUGAAGG